AACACCUUCAGGGAGAGAAUUACGAGCCCAGCGAAGAGAAGAAAGAGGCCACUGUUAUUUAUCAUGGCAGGCCCGGGGUGAUUCAUGAAUAACCAUCGGUUUGCUUUUUUCUCGUUUCCCUUCCCUACCAGAAGGAAGGCUGGGAGGUAUGAAUUUGAAGCUGGACACGUUGCUGCUCCCCUUAAAGUUUGGAUUAUUUUACUAAAGAAGAAGAGAACAGGAUCUUGUGUCUUCUACCAGUAUCCAUGAGAUUGUGGCAGGCUAAAAUCACAGACUCUUCAGAGUUUUCAUAAUGAUAAAGUAAAUAUUGCAAAGUACACAUACAAUAAGUGUACAAUUGAUGAAUCCUACAAAGUGAACUCACUCAUGUAACCAGCACCAGAUGAAGAAAAAAACAUCAGCAGCAUCACAGAAGCCCCCCAAAUGUCCCCUUCAGUCAAUAGCCUCCCAAAGAUAACCACACUCCUAUCUAGCAGUGUGGGUUAAUUUUUCCUGUUUUUGAACUUUGCAUAUAUUAAAUCAUACAACAUGUA
ensembl:lncRNA LINC00237 long intergenic non-protein coding RNA 237